AUGGAGGGCUUGGAAGGCUUAAUGAGGGGUUUGAAGCUUUCGGCGGUGGAGAGGAAGGGAGUGAAGCUAGGGCAGAAGGAGAAGGGGAAAUCUCAAGACUGCGCACUGGACGAUCCCCAAGCAGUGGGAAAGCUGUUCUCGGAAAAACCUAAGAUUGCGGGGAUAGUAGGGCAAACUUUGGGUAGGAUCUGGUGUCUUAAAGGACUGGAGUGCAAAGAACUAGAGACAAAUAUCUUCCUGUUCACCUUCCGGCAAGCAUCAGGUUGGAGACGAGCUUUGGAGGAAGGCCCCUGGUGGUUUGAUAAUGAACUAUUAGUCAUGGAGGAGUUCGACCCGGAGAAGACAGUGGAGGAGUAUGACUUCAACCUUGUACCCAUGUGGCUCCAGAUCUUCAGUCUUCCCCUGGGAUACAUGAAUAGAGCCACUGGGGAGAUUAUAGGUGCUGAUUUUUAUGAGUUUCUGGAUGUGGAUGUUGGGCAUGAUGGCAAGGCAAUGGGGAAGUACCUCCGCGUGAAGGUAAAGCUCGAUAUCAAUGAGCCUCUUCCUAGGGGUUUUGUUCUGGAUAGGGAGAGGGGACAGGAGGCGGGAAAGGACAGAGCAGUAGAGGAGGCUGACGAGAAUAAUAGUAAGAAGAAGAAGAAGAAGGAAUUAUUGUAG
rnacentral:rRNA from 1 species